rnacentral:rRNA from 1 species
AUUGAACGCUGGCGGCAUGCCUUACACAUGCAAGUCGAACGGUAACAGGUCUUCGGAUGCUGACGAGUGGCGAACGGGUGAGUAAUACAUCGGAACGUGCCCGAGAGUGGGGGAUAACGAGGCGAAAGCUUUGCUAAUACCGCAUACGAUCUCAGGAUGAAAGCAGGGGACCGCAAGGCCUUGCGCUCACGGAGCGGCCGAUGGCAGAUUAGGUAGUUGGUGGGAUAAAAGCUUACCAAGCCGACGAUCUGUAGCUGGUCUGAGAGUACGACCAGCCACACUGGGACUGAGACACGGCCCAGACUCCUACGGGAGGCAGCAGUGGGGAAUUUUGGACAAUGGGCGCAAGCCUGAUCCAGCCAUGCCGCGUGCAGGAUGAAGGCCUUCGGGUUGUAAACUGCUUUUGUACGGAACGAAAAGACUCCUUCUAAUAAAGGGGGUUCAUGACGGUACCGUAAGAAUAAGCACCGGCUAACUACGUGCCAGCAGCCGCCGUAAAAC